UAUUAGUUUCAAGUGAAGGAUCAGAUUGGAGCGUAGCAACUAUGAUUCUGAACCUAUGCUGCGUUCAUGCGGUAUAACAAUUAGCAAUAGCUUUACUCAAGUUGAAGGCCGCGUUCUACCGGCUCCUAAGCUAAACGUGGGCAAUGGAGAGGAUUUCUUCCCCCGCAAUGGACGGUGGAGCUUUCAGAGUAAGAAAUUUGUUGAGCCAGCUAAGAUACAGAAAUGGGCUGUGGUGAACUUCUCUGCUCGGUGUGACAUGCGUGGGCUUAUAAGAGACCUGACUAGAUUAGCUGAAAUGAAAGGACUUCUCACCGAACAACCUUUUGACGUGUUUGAAGAAAGCCCCCAAUUCAGAAGAGCCCCUCCUGCUGUUAGAGUGGAUAAAAUGUUUGAGGAGAUACAAGCUAAACUACCUGGGGUGCCGCUCUUCCUCAAAAGACUAAAUUAUCCUGUGCAGCAAAAGCAGCAUGGCUCUGUCACUGUGUCUUUUAGAGAUGGGAUACUCAAUCCAAUUGGAGACAGGGUACGUUAGUUCCCAGCACAGCAAGAAACUUUCGAUUUGAUUAAGGCAAAGAUCAUUUAGAAUGAAGUGUGUCGUUCAAAUGACAGCUUGUUUAUUACUUCUAAAAUGCUGUUUGCUGUUUGUGUUAUAUUAUCUUCAAUGAAUGACAAGUUUGUUUA